CCUACGGGUGGCAGCAGUGGGGAAUAUUGCACAAUGGGGGAAACCCUGAUGCAGCGACGCCGCGUGAGUGAAGAAGUAAUUCGUUAUGUAAAGCUCUAUCAGCAGGGAAGAAAAUGACGGUACCUGGGUAAGAAGCCCCGGCUAACUACGUGCCAGCAGCCGCGGUAAUACGUAGGGGGCAAGCAUUCUCCGGAUUUACUCGGUGUAAGGGGAGCGUAGACGGCAGUGCAAGUCUGGAGUGAAAGGCGGGGGCUCAACCCCCGGACUGCUCUUGAAACUGGACGGCUGGAGUGCAGGAGAGGUAAGUGGAAUUCCAAGUGUAGCGGUGAAAUGCGUAGAGAUUAGGAGGAACACCAGUGGCGAAGGCGGCUUACUGGAAAGGAACUGACGUUGAGGCUCGAAAGCGUGGGGAGCAAACAGGAUUAGAUACCCUAGCAGUC
rnacentral:rRNA from 1 species